rnacentral:rRNA from 1 species
CGACCGCUGGCGGCGUGCUUAACACAUGCAAGUCGCGCGGUAAGGCCUUUCGGGGUCCACGAGCGGCGAACGGGUGAGUAACACGUGGGUGAUCUGCCCUGCACUUCGGGAUAAGCCUGGGAAACUGGGUCUAAUACCGGAUAUGACCUCCUAUCGCAUGGUGGGUGGUGGAAAGAUUUAUCGGUGCAGGAUGGGCCCGCGGCCUAUCAGCUUGUUGGUGGGGUAAUGGCCUACCAAGGCGACGACGGGUAGCCGACCUGAGAGGGUGACCGGCCACACUGGGACUGAGACACGGCCCAGACUCCUACGGGAGGCAGCAGUGGGGAAUAUUGCACAAUGGGCGAAAGCCUGAUGCAGCGACGCCGCGUGAGGGAUGACGGCCUUCGGGUUGUAAACCUCUUUCAGCAGGGACGAAGCGCAAGUGACGGUACCUGCAGAAGAAGCACCGGCUAACUACGUG